AGAGUUUGAUCAUGGCUCAGAUUGAACGCUGGCGGCAGGCCUAACACAUGCAAGUCGAACGGUAACAGGAAACAGCUUGCUGUUUCGCUGACGAGUGGCGGACGGGUGAGUAAUGUCUGGGAAACUGCCUGAUGGAGGGGGAUAACUACUGGAAACGGUAGCUAAUACCGCAUAACGUCGCAAGACCAAAGAGGGGGACCUUCGGGCCUCUUGCCAUCAGAUGUGCCCAGAUGGGAUUAGCUAGUAGGUGGGGUAACGGCUCACCUAGGCGACGAUCCCUAGCUGGUCUGAGAGGAUGACCAGCCACACUGGAACUGAGACACGGUCCAGACUCCUACGGGAGGCAGCAGUGGGGAAUAUUGCACAAUGGGCGCAAGCCUGAUGCAGCCAUGCCGCGUGUAUGAAGAAGGCCUUCGGGUUGUAAAGUACUUUCAGCGGGGAGGAAGGGAGUAAAGUUAAUACCUUUGCUCAUUGACGUUACCCGCAGAAGAAGCACCGGCUAACUCCGUGCCAGCAGCCGCGGUAAUACGGAGGGUGCAAGCGUUAAUCGGAAUUACUGGGCGUAAAGCGCACGCAGGCGGUUUGUUAAGUCAGAUGUGAAAUCCCCGGGCUCAACCUGGGAACUGCAUCUGAUACUGGCAAGCUUGAGUCUCGUAGAGGGGGGUAGAAUUCCAGGUGUAGCGGUGAAAUGCGUAGAGAUCUGGAGGAAUACCGGUGGCGAAGGCGGCCCCCUGGACGAAGACUGACGCUCAGGUGCGAAAGCGUGGGGAGCAAACAGGAUUAGAUACCCUGGUAGUCCACGCCGUAAACGAUGUCGACUUGGAGGUUGUGCCCUUGAGGCGUGGCUUCCGGAGCUAACGCGUUAAGUCGACCGCCUGGGGAGUACGGCCGCAAGGUUAAAACUCAAAUGAAUUGACGGGGGCCCGCACAAGCGGUGGAGCAUGUGGUUUAAUUCGAUGCAACGCGAAGAACCUUACCUGGUCUUGACAUCCACGGAAGUUUUCAGAGAUGAGAAUGUGCCUUCGGGAACCGUGAGACAGGUGCUGCAUGGCUGUCGUCAGCUCGUGUUGUGAAAUGUUGGGUUAAGUCCCGCAACGAGCGCAACCCUUAUCCUUUGUUGCCAGCGGUCCGGCCGGGAACUCAAAGGAGACUGCCAGUGAUAAACUGGAGGAAGGUGGGGAUGACGUCAAGUCAUCAUGGCCCUUACCACCAGGGCUACACACGUGCUACAAUGGCGCAUACAAAGAGAAGCGACCUCGCGAGAGCAAGCGGACCUCAUAAAGUGCGUCGUAGUCCGGAUUGGAGUCUGCAACUCGACUCCAUGAAGUCGGAAUCGCUAGUAAUCGUGGAUCAGAAUGCCACGGUGAAUACGUUCCCGGGCCUUGUACACACCGCCCGUCACACCAUGGGAGUGGGUUGCAAAAGAAGUAGGUAGCUUAACCUUCGGGAGGGCGCUUACCACUUUGUGAUUCAUGACUGGGGUGAAGUCGUAACAAGGUAACCGUAGGGGAACCUGCGGUUG
rnacentral:rRNA from 1 species